rnacentral:rRNA from 1 species
UACGAAGGGGGCUAGCGUUGCUCGGAAUCACUGGGCGUAAAGGGUGCGUAGGCGGGUCUUUAAGUCAGGGGUGAAAUCCGUGGAGCUCAACUCCAGAACUGCCUUUGAUACUGAGGAUCUUGAGUACGGGAGAGGUGAGUGGAACUGCGAGUGUAGAGGUGAAAUUCGUAGAUAUUCGCAAGAACACCAGUGGCGAAGGCGGCUCACUGGCCCGUAACUGACGCUGAGGCGCGAAAGCUAGGGGAGCAAACGGG